GGGGGUGUAGCUCAGUGAUAAAGCACUUGCCUAGUGUGUGUGAAUCCCUGAGUUCAAUCCCCAGCACCACUA
rnacentral:tRNA from 1 species